CAUUAUUGAAGUUGAUUCGGGUUGUCGCUGGCUCUCAGGAGCAUGUGCACGCUCGUUCAUAUUCAUUCUCUCUUGUGCACCUUUAGCUAGACUAUGAAUACCCCUCGAGUGAAAAUCUCGGAUUGAGGGCUGCACCUAACCGUGCUUCCCCUGCAUUUUCAUAGUCUAUGUCUUCAUAUACCCUUUGUAUGUCUUUGAAUGUCUUUUUGUGGGUCUUUGACCUAUAAAAUCUAGUACAACUUUCAACAACGGAUCUCUUGGCUCUCGCAUCGAUGAAGAACGCAGCGAAAUGCGAUAAGUAAUGUGAAUUGCAGAAUUCAGUGAAUCAUCGAAUCUUUGAACGCACCUUGCACCCUUUGGUAUUCCGAAGGGUAUGCCUGUUUGAGUGUCAUUAUAUUCUCAACCAUUGAACUUGUUUCUGUGGCUUGGAUGUGGGGGUUGCGGGCUUCGCAAGAGGUCGGCUCUCCUUAAAUGCAUUAGUGGAAACCGCUUGCAGGAUUCAUUCACUUUUUGGCGUGAUAGUAUCGUCGUCAAAGGUAGUGUCUCCGAGGUAUCUGCUUUCUAACCGUCCUUUACGGGACUCUUAAUGACUUGUUUG
rnacentral:rRNA from 1 species